UCCGGUUGAUCCUGCCGGAGGUCACCGCUAUUGGAAUUCGCUUAAGCCAUGCAAGUCUAAAGGACUUCGGUCCUUGGCGGACUGCUCAGUAACACGCGGACAAUCUACCCUCGGGAGGGGGAUAAACUCGGGAAACUGAGUAUAAUACCCCAUAGGUGUAGGAUACUGGAAUGUUCCUACGCUGAAAGUUCCGACGCCCGAGGAUGAGUCUGUGGCCUAUCAGGCUGUAGUGAGUGCAACGGACUCACUAACCGACGACGGGUACGGGCCUUGAGAGAGGUCGCCCGGAGAUGGACUCUGAGACAUGAGUCCAGGCCCUACGGGGCGCAGCAGGCGCGAAAACUUCACAAUGUGGGCAACCACGAUGAGGGAAUUCCAAGUGCUCAUGCUUUGCAUGUGCUGUUUCUUAGCCUAAGUAGCUGGGAGAGUAAGGGCUGGGUAAGACGGGUGCCAGCCGCCGCGGUAAUACCCGCAGCCCGAGUGGUGAUCGGUUUUAUUGGGCCUAAAGCGUCCGUAGCCGGUUUGGUAAAUCCCUGGGUAAAUCGGGUCGCUUAACGAUUCGAAUUCCGGGGACACUGCCAGACUUGGGACUGGGAGAGGCCAGAGGUACUCCAGGGGUAGGGGUGAAAUCCUGUAAUCCUUGGGGGACCACCAGUGGCGAAGGCGUCUGGCUAGAACGGGUCCGACGGUAAGGGACGAAGCCCUGGGGCACAAACCGGAUUAGAUACCCGGGUAGUCCAGGGUGUAAACGCUGCGGGCUUGGUGUUGGGGGUCCCACGUGGGCGUCCAGUGCCGGAGAGAAGUUGUUAAGCCCGCCGCCUGGGGAGUACGGUCGCAAGACUGAAACUUAAAGGAAUUGGCGGGGGAGCACCGCAACGGGUGGAGCGUGCGGUUUAAUUGGAUUCAACGCCGGAAAACUCACCGGGGGCGACUGUUACAUGAAGGCCAGGCUGAUGACCUUGCUAGAUUUUCAGAGAGGUGGUGCAUGGCCGUCGUCAGUUCGUACCGCAAGGCGUUCUGUUAAGUCAGAUAACGAACGAGACCCCUACCCUUACUUGCCAGGCUUUCCUCCGGGAAAGCGGAACUUUAAGGGGACCGCUGGUGCUAAAUCAGAGGAAGGAGGGGGCAACGGUAGGUCAGUAUGCCCCGAAUCCCCCGGGCUACACGCGCGCUACAAAGGUUGGGACAAUGGGCUCCGACACCGAGAGGUGAAGGCAAUCCCGAAACCCAAUCAUAGUUCGGAUUGAGGGCUGUAACUCGCCCUCAUGAAGCUGGAAUCCGUAGUAAUCGCGGGUCAACAUCCCGCGGUGAAUAUGCCCCUGCUCCUUGCACACACCGCCCGUCAAACCAUCUGAGUUGGGUCGAAGUGAGGGCUCGUCUACCUGGCGAGCUCGAACUUGGGUUCAGCAAGGAGGGUUAAGUCGUAACAAGGUA
rnacentral:rRNA from 1 species